GUUUGUUUUAAACGGAUAUGAUUUCAGAACUUUGUUUAAAGGAGCACUAUAGGGUCAGGAACACAAACAUGUAUUCCUGACCCUAUAGAGUUAAAAACAGGAGAUACUGAAUGUUUGGAUGCAUUUUAGGCAGCCAUGGCCCAGGAAUGAUCUCUAACAGACAUCUGGAGGAGUGGCCAGUGAAGUUAUCACUAGGCUGUAAUGUAAACAAUGCAUUUUCACCGACUUUCACUGCUUUUGCUUGGGCCCCCUAGUCC